CUUGCAGGGUGACAGCCAGACAUGAGUGUCCUGUCCUCCAUGGAGGGAAUUGGAGAAGAUUGAUGUCUACAGCUGACGUGGUCACAAAUCAGCGGCUGUGGAUGUAGGGAUCCGGAGUUACUGCUUGACUUUGUACAAGGCUGGGUCCAUAUCGGCACACGGCGUCCCUUUCCGUGGUGAGACUGCACUGGGUGACAUUAUGUAGUGCACUGAAGACAAGGCAGCAUGCUGUGGUCAUCACUCACAGGAGGACGAAAAGAAGACAUAUAUAUUUGUGGACAGCUUCAUCCUGGAGUUCAUUGUUCUUGUCUACAAUGUAUGAACAAUGAUCAUUAACAGAUGGGUUGCCAUUCAUCAGUUCACCCUCAAAGACACCUUUGGAUGUAAAGGCAACUACUUUAACAUUUAUUGAAAACUAAACUGACUCACAAUAAUCUGAUUCAGCUGUCAAAUGUUUUUAGGUGCAGCAAACCCAAACUAAAGAACGAUGGCACUGG